CAGAACGAACGCUGGCGGCAUGCCUAACACAUGCAAGUCGAACGGGCGUAGCAAUACGUCAGUGGCAGACGGGUGAGUAACGCGUGGGAACAUACCUCUUGGUUCGGAACAACACAGGGAAACUUGUGCUAAUACCGGAUAAGCCCUUACGGGGAAAGAUUUAUCGCCGAGAGAUUGGCCCGCGUCUGAUUAGCUAGUUGGUAGGGUAAUGGCCUACCAAGGCGACGAUCAGUAGCUGGUCUGAGAGGAUGAUCAGCCACAUUGGGACUGAGACACGGCCCAAACUCCUACGGGAGGCAGCAGUGGGGAAUAUUGGACAAUGGGCGCAAGCCCGAUCCAGCCAUGCCGCGUGAGUGAUGAAGGCCCUAGGGUUGUAAAGCUCUUUUGUACGGGAAGAUAAUGACGGUACCGUAAGAAUAAGCCCCGGCUAACUUCGUG
rnacentral:rRNA from 1 species